UUUGGUCAUUUGGAACUGUGAUGGUGACAGCAAUGCCGGUGUGAGCAAAGGCGUGUAAGAUAUCGGGGUUGUAAUCGAAAAGCCUGACUCGGUUGAUAAUGGUGGAUUGGAGAAGGAAUUGAGCCACUCGGUCUGGUGGAGAGGAAGAUUAUAGAGGGCAAACCUUGGAAGAUGGCUGCAGAGGCAAGAAGAAGUAAGAAGAAAAGGGUGCUUGCCAUUGAAGCAAAAGCUGAAAGAGGAUUUUUUUACAAGAAUAGUCUAAAGGGGAGCUCAAGGUUUCGUGAAUGGUGGUGGUGAUGAUGGUGGGUGGGAUUUGGGAAGCCAUUGCUGAAGAAGUAAGGUAGGCUAGGAAGAUAAAGAUGCUUUGCUUUGUAAUUUGGGUUGUACGCUAUCUUGCAGCCAAGGUUAAAGAUCAUACAUGUAUUUUUAGAGAGCUUUUUACUUCUAAAGGGAAUAACCCUGCUCGGGUUUCUCUU